rnacentral:rRNA from 1 species
AUUGAACGCUGGCGGCAUGCCUUACACAUGCAAGUCGAACGGCAGCACGGGGCAACCUGGUGGCGAGUGGCGAACGGGUGAGUAGUGCAUCGGAACGUACCUUUCAGUGGGGGAUAACGUAGCGAAAGUUACGCUAAUACCGCAUAUUCUGUGAGCAGGAAAGCAGGGGAUCGCAAGACCUUGCGCUGAUUGAGCGGCCGAUGUCAGAUUAGCUAGUUGGUGAGGUAAAGGCUCACCAAGGCGACGAUCUGUAGCGGGUCUGAGAGGAUGAUCCGCCACACGGGAACGGAGACACGGUCCAGACUCCUACGGGAGGCAGCAGUGGAGAAUUUUGGACAAUGGAGGCAACCCUGAUCCAGCCAUGCCGCGUGAGUGAAGAAGGCCUUCGGGUUGUAAAGCUCUUUCGGCCGGGAAGAAAUCGCACGGGCUAAUACCCUGUGUGGAUGACGGUACCGGAAUAAGAAGCACCGGCUAACUACGUGCCAGCCGCCGCCGUAAAAC